rnacentral:rRNA from 1 species
GAUGAACGCUGGCGGCGUGCCUAAUACAUGCAAGUCGAGCGAACAGACGAGGAGCUUGCUCCUCUGACGUUAGCGGCGGACGGGUGAGUAACACGUGGAUAACCUACCCAUAAGAAUGGGAUAACUUCGGGAAACCGGAGCUAAUACCGGAUAAUAUAUUGAACCGCAUGGUUCAAUAGUGAAAGACGGUUUUGCUGUCACUUAUAGAUGGAUCCGCGCCGCAUUAGCUAGUUGGUAAGGUAACGGCUUACCAAGGCAACGAUGCGUAGCCGACCUGAGAGGGUGAUCGGCCACACUGGAACUGAGACACGGUCCAGACUCCUACGGGAGGCAGCAGUAGGGAAUCUUCCGCAAUGGGCGAAAGCCUGACGGAGCAACGCCGCGUGAGUGAUGAAGGUCUUCGGAUCGUAAAACUCUGUUAUUAGGGAAGAACAAAUGUGUAAGUAACUAUGCACGUCUUGACGGUACCUAAUCAGAAAGCCACGGCUAACUACGUG